GACGAACGCUGGCGGCGUGCUUAACACAUGCAAGUCGAACGGAAAGGCCCCCACCUUGGUGGGGGUGCUCGAGUGGCGAACGGGUGAGUAACACGUGGGUGAUCUGCCCUGUACUUCGGGAUAAGCUUGGGAAACUGGGUCUAAUACCGGAUAGGACCAUGGUUUAGUGUCUCAUGGUGGAAAAAUUAUUGUUUUGGUGCAGGAUGAGCUCGCGGCCUAUCAGCUUGUUGGUGGGGUAAUGGCCUACCAAGGCGUCGACGGGUAGCCGGCCUGAGAGGGUGGACGGCCACAUUGGGACUGAGAUACGGCCCAGACUCCUACGGGAGGCAGCAGUGGGGAAUAUUGCACAAUGGGCGCAAGCCUGAUGCAGCGACGCCGCGUGGGGGAUGACGGCCUUCGGGUUGUAAACUCCUUUCGUUAGGGACGAAGCCACACCUUUUUUGGGUGUGGUGACGGUACCUUUGUUAAGAAGCACCGGCUAACUACGUG
rnacentral:rRNA from 1 species